rnacentral:lncRNA from 1 species
UCCCCAUUUCUUGUUCACAAUACAAGUCUUCAUAGACCACCACCAUGACCGACUGCAUCUAGCUCCUCACUCGACCCCCAGCUCUCUCUCUCUUCUUUUUAUUCUCUCUCACACAAACCAUUUUCUUACCCAGCUCCACCAUUAUAUUAUCUAUCUUCUCCACCACACUAUCUUCUACAGAGACCAAAAUAUACAGGGCCAACCUUGAAAUCCACAUCACAACUGUUACAUAGUGCCAAAAUGAAGAUGGUUGAACAAUCAAAGAUUUCCUUCUAAUAAAUUUUAGUUAGAGGGUCCAUUUGUUGGUACGGUAGUCGCUGUAAUUUGGUUUGGAGGUUCUUUUUCUUCAACUCUCUGAGAUAUUCCACCAUUAACAUUCUCUAGCUAGCGAAGAUGAGGGCACCCAUUUUCUUACUUCUCUUGUUUGUGCUGAUGAUGGUACAUCUGGGCCUAUCUGCUUCUUAUUUUACAUUCGUUGCGA